rnacentral:pre_miRNA from 1 species
UCCAUUUCACACGCUCUCUCGCCAUGUCUAACCGACGAGAUAGCGUGUGAACUGGAGA